CACAACAAGCGGUAGCGGAAGAUGGCUCUACAUCGGCGAAGAGGAGGGGCGCGAGGUUGACAGCUGUGACGGAGUGGACAACAUGACCGUGUGCUCACCGGUGACGUAGUCGGCGGCCCUCUCCCCUCGCGAUUUCUCUAUGGCAAAUAUUGUUCUCCUCUUCUUCCCUGAAUCAGGCGAUGUCUGCAGGCCAGACUCCACUAUAGAGCAAAUCCUUGAUAUUCAAGCUAAGCGGUCAAUUUUGAGAUGGUAUAUGCAAGACCUACCGCGAGGCCAAGAUCCAACACAGAAAAAGAACUGCAAAGACAACCAUGGUAUAAAUUAUCUGGAUUGAUAGGGAUUGCUACAUGGACCGUAAAUAAGGUGAAGGUAUAAUGCAUAAAGAUUGGGAAACAAACCUCUUGGAUUUGGU